GGCUUAUUUUGCGAAGGCGGAGUACGACCGUCUGUGGAAAAAAUAAUGCCGCUGCUGGAUACCCUCAGCGGUAGUCACGGGGUCGGACCGGUAUGUCAUGAGCUGAAUAUCGCCCCG
rnacentral:ncRNA from 1 species